rnacentral:tRNA from 1 species
GGUGGCUCAGUGGUAGAGUGCUUGCCUUGCAGGCAUAAGGCCCUAGGUUCGAUUCCUCAGCACCA